rnacentral:rRNA from 1 species
CAGUCGCCGCGGUAAUACGUAUGUCGCAAGCGUUAUCCGGAAUUAUUGGGCAUAAAGGGCAUCUAGGCGGCCAGGCAAGUCUGGGGUGAAAACCUGCGGCUCAACCGCAGGCCUGCCCUGGAAACUGCGUGGCUAGAGUGCUGGAGAGGUGGACGGAACUGCACGAGUAGAGGUGAAAUUCGUAGAUAUGUGCAGGAAUGCCGAUGAUGAAGAUAGUUCACUGGACGGCAACUGACGCUGAAGUGCGAAAGCCGGGGGAGCGAACAGGAUUAGAUACCCCCGUAGUCCCUGUCUCUUAUAC